rnacentral:rRNA from 1 species
CCGGAGGCGACCGCUGUGGGAGUCCGAUUAAGCCAUGCGAGUCGAGAGAAUAAGAUUCUCGGCAUACCGCUCAGUAACACGUGGAUAACUGCCCUGUGCUGGGGGAUAACCUCGCGAAAGUGAGAACAAUACCCCAUGGGUCACUAUGCCUGGAACGGUUAGUGGCUGAAAGCUCCGGCGGCACAGGAUGGGUCUGCGGCGUAUCAGGUCGUAGGGGGUGUAACGUACCUCCUAGCCUUCGACGCGUACGGGUUGUGAGAGCAAUUGCCCGGAGAUGGAUUCUGAGACACGAAUCCAGGCCCUACGGGGCGCAGCAGGCGCGAAAACUUGACAAUGCGAGAAAUCGUGAUCAGGGGACUCCAGUUGGCUGGAUCAAAAGUCCAGUCUGAACCGACUUUAAAUCGGUCGGGUAAUAGGGGCGGGAAAGACCGGUGCCAGCCGCCGCGGUAAUACCGGCGCCCCAAGUGGUCGUCACUAUUAUUGGGCCUAAAACGUCCGUAGCCGGUUUGGUAAAUCCGUGGGUAAAUCAGACAGCCCAACUGUCUGAAUUCUGCGGGGACUGCCAGACUUGAGACCGGGAGAGGUGCGGGGUACUUGCGGGGUACCGGUAAAAUGGGAUCAUCCCGUAGAGACCACCUGUUGCGAAGGCGCCGCACUAGAACGGAUCUGACGGUCAGGGACGAAGCCUAGGGGCACGAACCGGAUUAGAUACCCGGGUAGUCCUAGGUGUAAACGCUGUGGACUUGGUGUCGGGGACCUUCUGAGGGUUUCCGGUGCCGGAGUGAAGAUGUUAAGUCCACUGCCUGGGGAGU